GAAGAUAAUUCUUCUUGAAGUGUUGAAGCAGGGUACCAGAUGGGUGGGAAUUUACAGUCUGUGAGGCAAGCUGUCACUCACAGGAAGUCAGUCUCUGUACAACAUGCUGAAGAAUGUCUUGAUUCCUAGAGUGCAUCAGAUGGCAGCUUGUGUCUGGCGCAUUGCAUAUGCUGCACGUGUAGGACAGCAAGUAUCUGAGACCUAGACCACGAUAACUGGGACUGCAUUCCUGCUCUAAGUGUAAACAGUGUUC